AAUUGCUCUGGUUUUCUGGUGGUUGUAGAGAGAAGAUAUAUGGGGACCACAAAUUGUCCCUCGUUACUGGUCCCUGAAUAGGGACAUGCUUGCUUUGACUCCAAUGGAACGCAAUCAAUUGUUCCAACCGGCUGGCCAGCAGUGACCGGGAUGUUUUACUCCAUCAAAAACAUGGCGUGACCGUGCGAGUCAAGAAGGAACACGCCAAUACCUUAUGUUCAGUUUGACAGCACGCCCGGAUGGAUGUACUCCAGUACCGUGCCAUUUUUUGUUUCCUGUUGUGUUCUGAGCAGCCGGUCGGCGACAAACAUACACAGUCAAGGUGUUCUGCCGCUUCGUUCUGUCCGCCUAAGGUAAAAACAAAAUGGAGCUGAUUUUGAAAAGAGAACUACUGCCGGGCGAGGAUGGUCUGGAUGGAUGGAUCAACUUUGAAAAGAAAUAAGAUGUAUGUUAAACAUCUCAUUCUUUUGCUGAUGCGCUGAAACGAGGCGCAGGGAAAAAUAAUUUCAGUCGAGAUGUCUUCAGUAACAGCGAUAUAAAUAACUUCUAGAAAAAAAAUUAAAUAAUAGGAAUCAGGAAGGCUAUACCAACUAAAGCUGGUACCCGAAUAAUUAUCCUUUUUAAUAGUAGUGCACACAAUUUAGCAAGAUAGAAGUGUAUACAUUAUUGCAGCCCUUAUGUAAACUGCUGAAAUCCUUUCCAUGAGCAAAUAUUUUUCUAAUUCAGUCAUAAAUGAAGAUAGUAAUCCACUCUCCAUGAAUAGAUUAUUAGUGUAAUUAAGCAUUGGUGACUUGAGCUGUACAGUAUAUGCAUCUGAGACAGAUUGCUCCUAGGACCAUUCCUGUAAAUUAAUACUAACUAUAAUCGAUUUACAUGAGUCUCUAAUUUGUCUGGUCCCUCUGAAGCUAAAGCUGGGAUUUUUCUUUUGGUGUAUUUGUUUGUGAUUCAUGAAACAUUUAGAUACACUUCAUCAUCUGUUGUGCGAUACCUUAGAGAAUCAUUUACUUUGAGUAUAAGUAAACAGAUCUACAUUCUACAAAAUAUUUUUAUUUGCUGAUACUUGCAGUUCUACUCAGUUGUCCCAAACUUGAUUUUCUCAAUUGUAAUUAUAGCCAAUCAUGGAGCCUAAAUUGAUACGAUUUUUGGGCUUAUGAAAUAAAGCCUAAUAAAGAUAAUUAAUAUUGGAAUUCAUAAGGUGCAUACGUAUAAUACAAAUCAAUAUAGUAGUAUUUGAAAGGCUAACAUCCAAUCAACAGUCAAGAAAGGAAGAUAGAGAAGGAAACAGAGAAUGAGGAAUAGAGAAGAGAGUGACCUUGGUUGUUCUGCCCUGGAUACCGAUUUGGUGAAUAGGUGUGGACGCAGCUCCUGCGGAUACCCUCCUCCUCGCCAUCGCUAUUCAUCUGUCAUCCCUUUCCCCCCUUCUUCAGGGUAGCGGGAGAUUAGAGGUGGAUGUGAUGCGCCGGUGCCGGUGGGGUAUACGGCGGCGGCAGGGGUGGGAUGGAGCCGCGGUGAUGAGGGGAUGAG